GACGAACGCUGGCGGCGUGCUUAACACAUGCAAGUCGAACGGUGAAAGUGGAGCUUGCUCCGCUGGAUCAGUGGCGAACGGGUGAGUAACACGUGGGCAACCUGCCCCAGACUUCGGAAUAACUCCUCGAAAGAGGUGCUAAUACCGGAUACGAAGCCCCCAGGCAACUGGGGGCUUGGACAGUUUUCCGGUCUGGGAUGGGCCCGCGGCCUAUCAGCUUGUUGGUGAGGUAACGGCUCACCAAGGCGACGACGGGUAGCCGGCCUGAGAGGGCGACCGGCCACACUGGGACUGAGACACGGCCCAGACUCCUACGGGAGGCAGCAGUGGGGAAUAUUGCGCAAUGGGCGAAAGCCUGACGCAGCAACGCCGCGUGAGGGAUGACGGCCUUCGGGUUGUAAACCUCUUUCAGCAGGGAAGAAGCGAAAGUGACGGUACCUGCAGAAGAAGCACCGGCUAACUACGUGCCAGCAGCCGCCGUAA
rnacentral:rRNA from 1 species